CCGGGGCUUAUUCUUGCGGUACCGUCAUUAUCUUCCCGCACAAAAGAGCUUUACAACCCUAGGGCCUUCAUCACUCACGCGGCAUGGCUGGAUCAGGCUUGCGCCCAUUGUCCAAUAUUCCCCACUGCUGCCUCCCGUAGGAGUUUGGGCCGUGUCUCAGUCCCAAUGUGGCUGAUCAUCCUCUCAGACCAGCUACUGAUCGUCGGCUUGGUGAGCCGUUAACUCACCAACUAGCUAAUCAGACGCGGGCCGAUCUUUCGGAGAUAAAUCUUUCCCCGUAAGGGCUUAUCCGGUAUUA
rnacentral:rRNA from 1 species